UACGUAGGGUGCAAGCGUUGUCCGGAAUUAUUGGGCGUAAAGAGCUCGUAGGCGGCUUGUCACGUCGGCUGUGAAAACCUGGGGCUCAACCCCAGGCCUGCAGCCGAUACGGGCAAGCUAGGAUUCGGUAGGGGAGACUGGAAUUCCUGGUGUAGCGGUGAAAUGCGCAGAUAUCAGGAGGAACACCGGUGGCGAAGGCGGGUCUCUGGGCAGUAACUGACGCUGAGGAGCGAAAGCGUGGGGAGCGAACAGG
rnacentral:rRNA from 1 species